UUAUUAGAUUAUAAUAAGACUACUUUUGUUACUACUGAUUGUUUAUGAAAGGGGCAGGGGGAAUCGUCACGACUCCCCCUUACGGUUCACAGGUGUUAUGGAUGUGUUGGUGCGAGGGCCCUGCCGAGGCGAGGGUCCAAGCGUUUCUCUCUAAUGAUCCUUCCGCAGGUUCACCUACGGAAA
rnacentral:misc_RNA from 1 species